rnacentral:rRNA from 1 species
AUUGAACGCUGGCGGCAGGCCUAACACAUGCAAGUCGAACGAGUGGCGGACGGGUGAGUAAUGUCUGGGAAACUGCCCGAUGGAGGGGGAUAACUACUGGAAACGGUAGCUAAUACCGCAUACCAUCGGAUGUGCACAGAUGGGAUUAGCUAGUAGGUGGGGGAACGUCUCACCUAGGCGACGAUCACUAGCUGGUCUGAGAGGAUGACCAGCCACACUGGAACGGAGACACGGUCCAGACUCCGACGUGAGGCAGCAGUGGGGAAUAUUGCACAAUGGGCGCAAGCCUGAGGGAGCCAGGCCGCGUGUAUGAAGAAGGCCUUCGGGUUGUAAAGUACUGUCAGCGAGGAGGCGUUACUCGCAGAAGAAGCACCGGCUAACUCCGUGCCAGCAGCCGCGGUAAUUC